rnacentral:rRNA from 1 species
GACGAACGCUGGCGGCGUGCUUAACACAUGCAAGUCGAACGGAAAGGCCCUGCUUUUGUGGGUUGCUCGAGUGGCGAACGGGUGAGUAACACGUGAGUAACCUGCCCUUGACUUUGGGAUAACUUCAGGAAACUGGGGCUAAUACCGGAUAUGAGCUCCUGCUGCAUGGUGGGGGUUGGAAAGUUUCGGCGGUUGGGGAUGGACUCGCGGCUUAUCAGCUUGUUGGUGGGGUAGUGGCUUACCAAGGCUUUGACGGGUAGCCGGCAUGAGAGGGUGACCGGCCACAUUGGGACUGAGAUACGGCCCAGACUCCUACGGGAGGCAGCAGGGGGGAAUAUUGCACAAUGGGCGGAAGCCUGAGGCAGCAACGCCGCGUGCGGGAUGACGGCCUUCGGGUGGUAAACCGAUUUCGCAUGUGACGAAGCGUGAGUGACGGUAAUGGGUAAAGAAGCACCGGCUAACUACGUG